GAGAACCGUCGCCCCCGCCAAGGCGGGGGCCGCUAUCGGCCUUGCGCAACAUUUCCAGCGACCCCCGCCUUCGCGGGGGCGACGAGUUAA
rnacentral:pre_miRNA from 1 species